GGUAGCCUAGUGGACAUGGCAUCUGCCCGGUAAGCGGAACACUGUGGGUUCGUUUCCCAUUACCA
rnacentral:tRNA from 1 species